rnacentral:tRNA from 1 species
GCGGACGUGGUGGAAUUGGUAGACACACUGGAGUUAGGUUCCAGCGCCGCAAGGCGUGAGAGUUCGAGUCUCUCCGUCCGCACCA